rnacentral:rRNA from 1 species
UACGAGGGGGCAAGCGUUGUUCGGAAUUACUGGGCGUAAAGCGCGUGUAGGCGGGUCUUUAAGUCAGGGGUGAAAUGCCAAGGCUCAACCUUGGAACUGCCUUUGAUACUGGAGAUCUUGAGUCGGGAGAGGUGAGUGGAACUGCGAGUGUAGAGGUGAAAUUCGUAGAUAUUCGCAAGAACACCAGUGGCGAAGGCGGCUCAGCUGGCC